rnacentral:rRNA from 1 species
UACGUAGGGGGGCAAGCGUUGUCCGGAAUCAUUGGGCGUAAAGCGCGUGUAGGCGGCUCGGUAAGUCCGCUCUGAAAGUCCAGGGCUCAACCCUGGGAUGCGGGUGGAUACUGCCGGGCUCGAGUCCGGAAGAGGCGAGUGGAAUUCUCGGUGUAGCGGUGAAAUGCGCAGAUAUCGGGAGGAACACCAAUGGCGAAGGCAGCUCGCUGGGACGUGACUGACGCUGAGACGCGAAAGCGUGGGGAGCAAACAGG